UGGGUGAGUAACACGUGGGCAAUCUGCCCUAAAGACUGGGAUACCACUUGGAAACAGGUGCUAAUACCGGAUAACAACAUGAAUCGCAUGAUUCAAGUUUGAAAGGCGGCGCAAGCUGUCACUUUAGGAUGAGCCCGCGGCGCAUUAGCUAGUUGGUGGGGUAAAGGCCUACCAAGGCAAUGAUGCGUAGCCGAGUUGAGAGACUGAUCGGCCACAUUGGGACUGAGACACGGCCCAAACUCCUACGGGAGGCAGCAGUAGGGAAUCUUCCACAAUGGACGCAAGUCUGAUGGAGCAACGCCGCGUGAGUGAAGAAGGUCUUCGGAUCGUAAAGCUCUGUUGUUGGUGAAGAAGGAUAGAGGCAGUAACUGGUCUUUAUUUGACGGUAAUCAACCAGAAAGUCACGGCUAACUACGUGCCAGCAGCCGCGGUAAUACGUAGGUGGCAAGCGUUGUCCGGAUUUAUUGGGCGUAAAGCGAGCGCAGGCGGAAUGAUAAGUCUGAUGUGAAAGCCCACGGCUCAACCGUGGAACUGCAUCGGAAACUGUCAUUCUUGAGUGCAGAAGAGGAGAGUGGAACUCCAUGUGUAGCGGUGGAAUGCGUAGAUAUAUGGAAGAACACCAGUGGCGAAGGCGGCUCUCUGGUCUGCAACUGACGCUGAGGCUCGAAAGCAUGGGUAGCGAACAGGAUUAGAUACCCUGGUAGUCCAUGCCGUAAACGAUGAGCGCUAGGUGUUGGGGACUUUCCGGUCCUCAGUGCCGCAGCAAACGCAUUAAGCGCUCCGCCUGGGGAGUACGACCGCAAGGUUGAAACUCAAAGGAAUUGACGGGGGCCCGCACAAGCGGUGGAGCAUGUGGUUUAAUUCGAAGCAACGCGAAGAACCUUACCAGGUCUUGACAUCCUGCGC
rnacentral:rRNA from 1 species